CCACUCCUCCUCUGCACAGGUUUUGAUAAAUCUCCCCCAAUGUUCAUAGACACAAUGGGCAGGCAGACCCUAUGGUCUACAUAGGGACCCUUUAGGCGACCACCUUUAAAAAAAAAUUGGAAACUAGAGAGCAAAUGGUGAGAUCUGUCGGGUUCGACUGGAAGUGAAAAUUACAGCUUACGAGGCCGUUCAAAGGAAAGAAGUCCAAAUCUCAUCUACCUCCUUGGCACCGAACCCCUGUCAUUUCCAGCUGAAAAUGAUCACAGUGAUGUCUAGUGGUACGCCCCCCGCACCUGAGAGCUUUGGCUCUCACCCCCCGCACUUCCAGCUAUUGACUUGCCGUCUGCUGUAUGGACACUUGGAAUAAAGCAUCGUUUGGCAAAUACUUCUCAGUGGGCUGCAGUGAAGCUGGAUUUUCAGCUUUUUUGGAAACCACUAUGCUACAAUAUGAGCAACUUCUACCUUCUUCUACAAACCCUUCCUCACUGGCCUGUAGAUUGUAGGCCCUCAUGGGUGGGUUCUCCUCUACAUAGAUAAUCCAAAUUCUAAGCUGCUCCCAAAGUACAAAGAGGUCAAAGUACCAUAGAAUAAGCUGUGAGCAAUCACGUGGAUAGAUCCCUGUUGACAGAGGCAAUAUUUUUGGAAAGAAUCGGCAAUAGAAAUGAGGAAGUACAAUGACUAUGAAGGUUUUUACUCCAGAUCACUGUAUCUACUAGCCAUGAGUUAAAACCAACUUGGGAUCUUUCAUCAAGCCAAAAUGACACUAAGGACUUGGAGACCUUCUAUGUUCCACAGAAAAUGAUACUGAGAUAAAUUGUUCAAAUUUCCAGUUUUUCCUAAAUAAAUGAACUUGAUCCAAACUCUUUUUGGUAUAAUGGAUACUCCAUGGUCCCCUUCUGAUUCAGAAGUUUCAAAAUGAACAACCUGUUUCUCCAAUAAAUAACAUCUACAGAUGACAUGAUAAUAUAAACUACUUAGGCUGAGACAACAGUCAUAGCGAACUCCCAUUACUAUAUGUAUGCACUCUUAUAAGGCAACCCUUUCGUAGAUUUAUAUAUUUCAUAACUAUUUCUUUCUGUACAAACUUUUUCCUGAACGAUACCAUGCAAACCAAUAAAUUAAAGGAUUUGACCAUUUAACAGAAAUUUGACCUUAUUUUACUUUAAAAAUUUUACAAUCCCAGUAACUACAUUUAUUUUUUGAUGGGGAAUUAAUACAAAACACGAAUAAAGCUAAAAUAAUUUCCAAAAAUGUUAAGAAAGGCUCUGAUCUUGUAUAGAGGUCAAUGGGAUCCAUUCUGAUCAGUUAGGAUCCAUUACAAAACAAUUCUAUAAAAACAGGAGCCUAGACACCAGUGUGAUUAGAUGUAUGUAUUUUUGGAAAGGGUUUCAUGAAAUUCCAAUUUAAUGUAUUUUUACAAAUUUCUGAUCAUUGAGGUUUCAAGUGGGUGGGGGGACCCCCAAACCGGCAACUCUCCAGGUAAAUUCAUGGGAGACAUGGAAACAGAGGAAGUGCAGAACAAGGGACUGAGGACACUUAUUCUCUGAGUUGGAGGGUAUCCCAGUCAUCAGACCCCCAACAAUCACACAUUAAAUGCUUACCAAAUAAAUAUAAAGUACACCUAAAUUGCAGAAAGUCCCCCUUUCAGUUAAAUCCAACCAUGAUCAUGAUUACGAGUACAGUUCCAAUUUUCGGCAGCCACAAAAAAAGGCAUUCUGUUAAUGUAGGUUUUGGCUAAAAAUGACAGCGAUAGAUAUCUCAACACGGUUCGGGCUGACUGGGGAAGAAGAUUUCUAGCUUGACUUUAAAAUCUGAAUAUAAUACUUUCUACAUGACAUACAUAUCUUUAAAAAAAAACACACACACACCUGAUACAUAUACAAUACAUAAAUCUGUUAUGCAUGUAAAGAUUUUUGGGUCCCAUUUUACAAGUUCAAUUUCACAUGCAGAACACAGAUGAAAACCAAAAAUAAAUACUUUCCAUUUUUUUCUUUGAAUCAAAAUAAAUAAAUAAACACAAUGCAUAUUGCUUAAAACAUCACCAUCAUAAUGUCACGCCCUUCGAAUUCUACCUUCUUUAAUUUGGGCACAGAAAAUCUUUUGUUUUCUCAGCUAUACCCACUGGUGACCAAAUACCUCGGUAUAUGUUUUAAGCAUUCCCCUAGUUCAGAUAUCCCAUGCAUUGUCAGAGAAACAUGCCACUUUAAAAUUACAUAUUCCACUUAACCCCUUUACUGCCUAAUAACUGCACUGCAAAAAAAUAAAAAUAAACAUUUGCAGGGUGUUGAGUAAAAAAUAGCAGCAAGGGGUUAAUAUUGCCUAUAUAUUGAUUCGAUUGUCCAACCUGGCCUAGAGCAUAUUGGGAACUUUUUUAUGACACCUUUGUAGGGAUCGGCCAUCUGUCUUAAGGCUUGGGGAAAAUAGAUUCAACCAACUCAGGCCAUUUUUGUUUUUUUGCAUAACAUAACAACCCGCAUUUGAUUCUGGAACUCUAAAGCCCAUUGUUAACUGAUUUAAGAGGAUGGGGAGAGGAUAUUUAGCUUUGGAAGAAGGAUGCACAGUUCAUUUUCUUAUGACAUCAUUAAACAGUACUUUACACCAUUGUGGUCAUCAAAUACUAUAAAGAGGGCAGCUUAGAUAACAGGCAGAAUUGGUUUGAGUGACAAUAUUGUAGAGUUAACAUCGCCAAUUUGAAUUACCGUAUUUUUCGCCGUAUAAGACGCACUUUUUCUUCCCCAAAACUGAGGGGGAAAAGUUGGUGCGUCUAAUACGGCAAAUACACAUUAAAACCCUGUCCUAUCAUGGCGGUCCCUGCGGCCAUCAACGUCCGGGACCCGCGGCUAAUACAGGACAUCACCGAUCGCGGUCAUGCCCUGUAUUAACCCUUCAGAUGCGGCGAUCAAAGCUGACCGCCGCGUCUGAAGCGAAAGUGACACUAACCUGGCUGCUCAGUCAGGCUGUUCAGGACCGCCGCGGUGAAAUCGUGGCGUCCCGAACAGCUUACAGGACACCGGGAGGGACCUUACCUGCCUCCUCGGUGUCUGCUCCGUGCCGGGAUCCCCUGCAUGGCUGGCGCUCUCCUUCGUCGUCAUCACAUCGUGCGUAGCGACGUGAUGGCGGCGACGAAGAGCGAGGAUACCGGGCAGCAGAGAUGUUCCGGAGCAACAGGGACACCCCGAGGACACGGCGACAGCGAUGGCAGCGGUGACGAGCGGUGACGGGUCCAGAGCGGCGUGGACACGUGAGUAUUACCUUCUAUACCAGUGGUCUUCAACCUGCGGACCUCCAGAUGUUGCAAAACUACAACUCCCAGCAUGCCCGGACAGCCAACGGCUGUCCGGGCAU